rnacentral:rRNA from 1 species
AACGCUAGCUACAGGCUUAACACAUGCAAGUCGAGGGGCAGCACAGUGUAGCAAUACACGGGUGGCGACCGGCGCACGGGUGCGUAACGCGUAUCCAACCUUCCCGUUACUCUUGGAUAGCCUUCCGAAAGGGAGAUUAAUACAAGAUGGUAUUCAAAUUCCGCAUGUUAUUUGAAUUAAAGAUUUAUCGGUAACGGAUGGGGAUGCGUGACAUUAGAUAGUAGGCGGGGUAACGGCCCACCUAGUCUACGAUGUCUAGGGGUUCUGAGAGGAAGGUCCCCCACACUGGAACUGAGACACGGUCCAGACUCCUACGGGAGGCAGCAGUGAGGAAUAUUGGUCAAUGGUCGGAAGACUGAACCAGCCAAGUAGCGUGAAGGAUGAAGGUUCUAUGGAUUGUAAACUUCUUUUAUACGGGAAUAAAACCACCUACGUGUAGGUGCUUGUAUGUACCGUAUGAAUAAGCAUCGGCUAACUCCGUGCCAGCAGCCGCGGUAAUACGGAGGAUGCGAGCGUUAUCCGGAUUUAUUGGGUUUAAAGGGAGCGUAGACGGGGGAUUAAGUCAGUUGUGAAAGGCUGCGGCUCAACCGCAGCACUGCAGUUGAUACUGGUUUUCUUGAGUGCGGUUGAGGUAUGUGGAAUUCGUGGUGUAGCGGUGAAAUGCUUAGAUAUCACGAAGAACUCCGAUUG